rnacentral:rRNA from 1 species
CCUACGGGCGGCAGCAGUGGGGAAUAUUGGGCAAUAGACGCAAGUCUGACCCAGCAACGCCGCGUGAAGGAAGAAGGCUUUCGGGUUGUAAACUUCUGUCAGCAGGGAAGAACGGUCACUGUGCUAAUCAGCAGUGAAUUGACGGUACCUGCAAAGGAAGCACCGGCUAACUCCGUGCCAGCAGCCGCGGUAAUACGGAGGGUGCGAGCGUUAAUCGGAAUUACUGGGCGUAAAGCGCUCGUAGGCGGUAUGUCAAGUCAAGGGUGAAAUCCCCGCGCUCAACGUGGGAACUGCCUUUGAAACUGGCAAACUGGAGUGUGUGAGAGGAUAGUGGAAUUCCAGGUGUAGGAGUGAAAUCCGUAGAUAUCUGGAGGAACAUCAGUGGCGAAGGCGACUAUCUGGCACAUAACUGACGCUGAGGAGCGAAAGCGUGGGUAGCAAACAGGAUUAGAUACCCGAGUAGUC